rnacentral:tRNA from 1 species
GCGGGGGUGGCCGAGUCUGGCCAAAGGCGUCGGACUUAAGAUCCGAUGGCGUAGGCCUGCGCGGGUUCGAAUCCCGUCCCCCGCACCA